rnacentral:rRNA from 1 species
AACGAACGCUGGCGGCAGGCCUAACACAUGCAAGUCGAACGCCCCGCAAGGGGAGUGGCAGACGGGUGAGUACCACGUGGGAACCUUCCCUAUAGUACGGAAUAGCCCAGGGAAACUUGGAGUAAUACCGUAUACGCCCGAAAGGGGAAAGAAUUUCGCUAUAGGAUGGGCCCGCGUAGGAUUAGCUAGUUGGUGAGGUAAUGGCUCACCAAGGCGACGAUCCUUAGCUGGUUUGAGAGAACGACCAGCCACACUGGGACUGAGACACGGCCCAGACUCCUACGGGAGGCAGCAGUGGGGAAUAUUGGACAAUGGGCGCAAGCCUGAUCCAGCCAUGCCGCGUGAGUGAUGAAGGCCUUAGGGUUGUAAAGCUCUUUUGGCGGGGACGAUAAUGACGGUACCCGCAGAAUAAGUCCCGGCUAACUUCGUG